GAAAGUCUCCUCACAACUGGCUAAGUCCUAUUUUGAUUCAAAAAUGACAUAUACUUCAAUGAAUUUAUGACAUGGAAUUUGCACACACCAUCAAACUACUCAUGUUAAGUCUAGAAGAGCGAUAAAGUGUACCUUGAAAUGCCGACACUAAUUCUUAUCAUCACCACUCAAAGUGUCCUAUGCUUCUUUCUUUGCGAUCAUUUCUCGGUUGCUUAAAGCUUGACUUAUGAGUAAGAACAAUUAAACAAAAAUGUUGGAAAACCAAUAUUUGAUUAAA
rnacentral:lncRNA from 1 species